AUUGAACGCUGGCGGCAGGCCUAACACAUGCAAGUCGAGCGAGCGGCGGACGGGUGAGUAAUGUAUGGGGAUCUGCCUGAUGGAGGGGGAUAACUACUGGAAACGGUGGCUAAUACCGCAUACCAUCGGAUGAACCCAUAUGGGAUUAGCUAGUAGGUGGGGUAAAGGCUCACCUAGGCGACGAUCCCUAGCUGGUCUGAGAGGAUGAUCAGCCACACUGGGACGGAGACACGGCCCAGACUCCUACGGGAGGCAGCAGGGGGGAAUAUUGCACAAUGGGCGCAAGCCUGAUGCAGCCAUGCCGCGUGUAGGAAGAAGGCCUUAGGGUUGUAAAGUACUUUCAGCGGGGAGGCGUUACCCGCAGAAGAAGCACCGGCUAACUCCGUGCCAGCAGCCGCGGUAAGUC
rnacentral:rRNA from 1 species